rnacentral:sRNA from 1 species
AUUGUAUAACCGAGGUGGCAAGGGCUGUCGCUGACCUUUCAAAGGUUGUGCACGCCCAAGCACACUCUCACACAUCCAUCUCACCCCUUUUGUGCAUCACCGCGUAGGCCCUCCCUUUGCAAGGAGGGCUUGCGUUUUCACAUAAAAACUUUUGAUACAGUAUAGAAUGUUCCUUUUUAUUUUGCGGUCACACGCAAUCAAUACAACUUUCAACAACGGAUCUCUUGGCUCUCGCAUCGAUGAAGAACGCAGCGAAAUGCGAUACGUAAUGUGAAUUGCAGAAUUCAGUGAAUCAUCGAAUCUUUGAACGCACCUUGCGCCCCUUGGCAUUCCGAGGGGCACACCCGUUUGAGUGUCGUGAAAUCAUCAAAAACCCUUUUUCUUUGAAAAGGAUUUUUGGACUUGGAGGUUCCAUGCUUGCCUUUGAAGGUGAGCUCCUCUCAAAUAAAUUAGUGGGGUCCGCUUUGCUGAUCCUUAAUGUGAUAAGAUGUUUCUACAUUUUGGAUUUAGCACUGUCCCUUGGAUGCCUGCUCCUAACUGUCUUUUGGACAAUGAUGGUGCUCCGGUCAUCGCCAUCUACAUUGGCGAGAGGCUGGACCCACAAAAAAAACCUUGACCUCAAAUCGGGUGAGACUACCCGCUGAA